ACACACACACACACACACACACACACACACACACAGGUAUUCACCAUGCACAAGUUAAUGUCAGAUCCAUUAAAAUAAAUAUCAGAACACAAAAUAUUUGACGGGCGAAGCAGUGGCGCAGUAGCCCAAUAUUGAAUUACACACCGAUAAAUAAAAUAAACAAGUAUUUAUAUUGAAAAGAAACAGUGGCCAUUUAUAAUACACAUAGCCCCUGACAACCUGUCAUGGAAUACAACUGUUAGCACGUAACAAACAACUACACACGUCAGGUAUACCCUUCUCAUCUGUCAGACCAUCUGCUCCGCAUUGACGCUUUAAUUUUCACUUCUAGUUACAUUUUCUUCAUUUUAAACAUUUAGAAAUAAGCUCAGUAUUGGUUUCUGUUUGUAUUUAUCAUACAGCAAAUAAUGAUAAAUUAGUUUGUUACUAUCAAAGAUAUAGCAAAGCCCAAGAGUUUUGACAACUUCUACAUUCUCUGAAAUAAAGAACAAAUUGUCACUAGAGAGGUAUCUUUUCAUACUUUUUAUGUACUAAUACACUUAUUAGUAUGUUUGCCAGUACUGGGUUACGGCUGCACUGAAAAAAAAUUAUUCAAAUAUGAUUCCUUGGAUUUACUAAUUUUCUUUAAGUUAAGUGGUUUAUUUGGGCUGAAUUUAAACAAAAAAAUUAAGCUGAACAUUAUUAAAUUUAUUUUGUUUGUUUGAAUUUAACACAUAUAAAUGGUUUGCAAAAAUUUUGCAAACAUCAUUUCUUUCAGUGCAGAAGGUCAUCCGCUAUGUAAAACACAUGCUGGAAUAGUUAAUGGUUCAUUCCGCUGUGGAAACCCGUGAUAAAUAAGGGACUAAGCUGAAGGAAAUUGAA
rnacentral:lncRNA from 1 species